rnacentral:rRNA from 1 species
GGACGAACGCUGGCGGCGUGCUUAAAACAUGCAAGUCGAACGGGAUUGUUGUUAGCACUAAGGGAUGUAGUAAUAUAUUCCUAGUGCUGACAAAGAAUUAGUGGCGGACGGGUGAGUAACACAUGAGCAACCUGCCUUUCACAGGGGGAUAACACUUAGAAAUAGGUGCUAAUACCGCAUAAGACCACGCUUAGGCAUCUAAGAGGGGUCAAAGGAGCAAUCCGGUGAAAGAGGGGCUUGUGGCUCAUUAGCUAGUUGGCGGGGUAACAGCCCACCAAGGCGACGAUGAGUAGCCGAUCUGAGAGGAUGAACGGCCACAUUGGAACUGAGAUACGGUCCAGACUCCUACGGGAGGCAGCAGUUAGGAAUAUUGGGCAAUGGGCGAAAGCCUCGACCCAGCAACGCCGCGUGAAGGAAGAAGGUUUUCGGAUUGUAAACUUCUGAUCUAAGGGAAAAAGAAAGUGAUGGUACCUUAGGAGCAAGCUACGGCAAACUACGUGCCAGCAGCGGC